rnacentral:rRNA from 1 species
CGUACACUCCUACGGGAGGCAGCAGUGGGGAAUAUUGGACAAUGGGCGCAAGCCUGAUCCAGCCAUGCCGCGUGAGUGAUGAAGGCCCUAGGGUUGUAAAGCUCUUUCACCGGAGAAGAUAAUGACGGUAUCCGGAGAAGAAGCCCCGGCUAACUUCGUGCCAGCAGCCGCGGUAAUACGAAGGGGGCUAGCGUUGUUCGGAAUUACUGGGCGUAAAGCGCACGUAGGCGGAUCGAUCAGUCAGGGGUGAAAUCCCAGGGCUCAACCCUGGAACUGCCUUUGAUACUGUCGAUCUGGAGUAUGGAAGGGGUGAGGGGAAUUCCGAGUGUAGAGGUGAAAUUCGUAGAUAUUCGGAGGAACACCAGUGGCGAAGGCGGCUCACUGGUCCAUUACUGACGCUGAGGUGCGAAAGCGUGGGGAGCAAACAGGAUUAGAAACCCGUGUAGUCCCA